rnacentral:tRNA from 4 species
GGGGGCGUAGCUCAGCUGGGAGAGCGCUUGACUGGCAGUCAAGAGGUCAGGGGUUCGAUUCCCCUCGUCUCCACCC